UCACGUUUAUUGCGACACAUCGACAGACGGAGGGAAAUGGAUGGUUUUUCAAAGAAGGUCUAACGGAAUGCUCGAUUUCACCUCGUAUAACUGGAAUGCAUAUGCGAAUGGAUUUGGAAAUUUAACCUCGGAAUAUUGGAUGGAUCAUUAUUUGAAGACAGAAGCCAAAAUUUUCCAUGUUCUUAAUUUCAAAUUUUUCUCAUUUUUAAUAAUAUAAUCAAACUCUGAUUUCGGUUUAUUCAAUAUCUUGCAGUAGAACUAUGACUACACAGCCCUUGGUAAAAUGUAAAUAUAUUUUCAUUUCACAAAAACAAUCUUUCAAUGACUUUCCGACUAAUCAACCGAGAUAAAGUUUUCAUUUUCAAUAC